AUUGCAGUGACACCAGACUAAACACUUAUCAUUGUGGCUGAAGGCAUUGCCUGUAACUGGGAAGGAGAAAAUGACUGUCAACUGACCAGGGAAAAAAAAGACGACCUGGUCUGCUCCUGUGCCUUUACAAGCAUCUUGGCAUGAUGUAGCGGAUGUGUUUUCCAUGGCAUGGAAUACGUUUGGUUCUCAUGAGAACACGAGAAGAGCCCUGUUGGAGUGGUCCAACAAGUCCAUCAAGAUCAACCUCCUCUCUCCCAUGGCGGUCAGUCAGCUGCUUCUCCAGGAAACCCACAGGAAGGAUAUAAAGACCAUAGCCCUCUGUGGCAACUGGUAUUCAGAGAAGCAUGUUGCUCCUUCUGAUCCUGCACGUAGCAUAUAACUCUUAUGUUGAGUUCACCCAGUUGCCUUUUAAAGCUUCCUAAAUUGGGGGCCAUCAACACACCUUGUGGCAGUGGAUUCCAAAGUUUAAAUAUACAGGGAGGAAUUCAAUAUCACAUGCUUGUUCCAUAAGGGCAAGCAUUUCGACUUGACAGAUAGACCCUCUCCUUCCCUAUGCACUAUCCUGAGGGUUCUCCUGAACCCCUCUCUGAACUAACUGGGGUGGCAUGGAGAGAGAGGAGAAGGGCGAAAGCCCACCACACAAUCAGAAUCCCACCUUUUGCCUGCUCUUAAUCUGCCAAUGUGCACCUCCAAGGAAUGGUCCCCAAUCCAGCAUGAUGCUAGGGUUGAUAGUACUGAAAAUCAAGGAGAGGUCCAGAAAAUCAACAGCUACACUCUCACUUGAGCAAUAACUGUCCAACAGGGCAGCCAAAGUUGCUUCAGUCCCCAAUCCGCAUCCGAUUCAAGAUUGGUAGUGGCCUGGGUCAGUAGUGAGGUACCUGUAGCCUGGGGAUCAUUGGUCUUGCUGGCAGGGGCAGUUGAAUAUUGCAGUCUAACAACAUCUGGAGGGACACAUGUUCCCUGUCACUGGUCUAGGCAAUCUGUUUCAUCUUGGAAUUGAGCAGACAGGCAUCUUCUGCUCAAGUACCAUGCUCCUCAAAAGGAUAUUUGUCACCGACUGUUAAGGUCCAGAAAGAGUUUCUUCUUCAUCAUGAACACUUCCCUCAAUGUGACUGGGACCAUGUUCUUCUUCAAGAAGGCUGAUCGCCGAAGAAUUGAUGCUUUUGAAUUAUGGUGCUGGAGGAGACUCUUGAGAGUCCCAUGGACUUCAAGAAGAGCAAACCUAUCCAUUCUUAAGGAAAUCAGCCCUGAGUGCUCACUGGAAGGACAGAUCCUGAAGCUGAGGCUCCAAUACAUUGGCCACCUCAUGAGAAGAGAAGACUCCCUAGAAAAGGCCCUGAUGUUGGGAACGAUUGAGGGCACAAGGAGAAGGGGACGACAGAGGACGAGGUGGUUAGACAGUGUUCUCGAAGCUAUGAACAUGAGUCUGACUAAACUGCGGGAGGCAGUGGAAGACAGGAGUGCCUGGCGUGUUCUGGUCCAUGGGGUCACGAAGAGUCGGACACGACUAAACGACUAAACAACAACAACCCUCCCAAGAAGACAUAAUAAGGCAGAAUGGGUAGACGUGGAGCAAAUAAUGUUAACCCAAACACCAUUGCAUGCAUGAACAAGAUGGUUGGUCGGCUAGCUUGGGGGUAUUAUGAUUCUUUUAGUAUUAGAAUUUAGCUACUAUUAUUUUACAGUUCAGUCAGGUAUUCAACAAAGUGGCUGUCAAAGACAGUUUUGAUAUCCUUUAUAGACAUCAAGGAUUUAGCAAAUUCUGUGAGCCAGUGAGGGCUUGCAACCAAUUCACACAUUUAUUUUUGAGGUAGUUAUGUUCUCACAUGUGGGGACUUUUUACGGCCUCAUUUUUACAUGUUGAGCAGCUUGUGUGCGGGAGCCCUAUCCUAAUUUGGGGGCAGGGAAGAGAGGAAAAGUACAAAACCAGGGAAAAUGUUUGAAAAUGAGUCCUUUGUUUUUUCAGCCACCUCAUGCUAACGGUUCUUCAUGUGAAAAUUAGGUGUCAGACUUGUACCACAAGAACUUUCCCCCCUCAGAUAUUAGCGUGCAAAUUUGGCAAUAUAGCAGAGAAUUAUAAUGGGGCAGAAACUAUUGGUGUGAAAAAAUUGUUGUAAGUAUUACUGUAAUAAGUGCAAAAUGCUUAGAGCUUCUCAGUCGAAACAGAAUUAAGUGCAAAGCUUGAUAAUUCCUUCUUAUUUAAAAGUGUUAUGAAUGCUUCUUACAGUCUUCCUUUCUCUUCCCAAGUAAGGCACAAUAUAAUGAAUAUAUUUGCUCACUGUGUAUACAAAAUGGCCCUCCUCAUUAGAGAUGGGGGGCGCUUUCGAUUUGGUUUGCAUUUUAACUUGCUCUUCAACACAACAACGCACAAAGCGAAUGUUUCAAAAUUCACACUUUCCCAAAUUUCGUGAUGCAGUUUGCCGAUCGCAAUGUGUGUACAAAAAUGCACCUGUUAGGACAAACUGUGCAGAAAAAUUAGGAAAAUAACAUUACAAAAAUAUUGGGGAAAAUUUAUUGCAAAAUGUGUACUGAUAUGCUGGUGAAUUUUUGUGAGGAUUUUUUUUAAAAAAAUCACAAACUGAUAUGCAAACUGGAUUUAAGAUUGAAAAACCCCCUGAAGCUAACAGAUUCAUUCAUCCCUAUAGUUAACUAAUUAUGGAUCAGUUAAAAAUGUAAAGACAGGCAUGUUCGUGUGCCUCAGAGAUUAUAGGCCCACAGCACUUGGUCAGAAACAAUUUUGUGCUACCUUUCUGCCUUUGUGGGUGUUGUCUCCUUGUCCAAUAUGAUUUGUAUGAUUGCAGGUUUGGGACUGAAGCAACCUUGGCUGCCCUGCUGGGCAAUUUGCCUACAUCACAAACUAACAGGGUACAUUGGAUGGAUGGGAAGAAAGGUGGGGCCACAAUGGCAGGCCCACCCCAACCUUUGUGUAAAUUCUGCAUAGGGCCCAUGUGCACAUAACACUCUGUGUUUAGGCUCUGAAUGGAAGUCUGGAUCAAUGCCCAGAGGUUAGGAGGGGGGAACUAUAGCUGUGAUCCUGUUCCUCCUUCCACGAAUUCAACACUGCCUGUUAAUUUUCUGAACAUGAUUUCUGUGGCUACACGUGGCGGUGUGAGUUCUCAGAAAAGAAUGCUCCACAAGAUUGUGGAGCCAAAAAGUGGUUGGUCACUGUUACCACCUGAACUGGGUCUAAUUAAACAUUUCCAACAUUUCUAAAUAAAAACCCCUUUCCUCUUUAACUGUGAGUCCUUGUAAACAUGAAGGUUCUCAGAGUUGUGAUAGGCAUCAUUUUGAUUUCAUAGGAGUCCUCCUUUAUUUACCUAGCCUGCUCUCAGCAUUUCCUCUCCCUCCGCUUGGGAAAGCUUUAACAGAGCUCUUUGCUCCCACACUGCCACAGAGAUUUGUUUCAGAAACCUUUGAAAGAGAUUUUUAAAGACCCUUGUCAUGGGAACAGCUGUCAGCCCACACAGCUGACUUUUAAUAUUUGAAGCUUUUUUAAAAUGUUUAAUUUGCUUCUACAGGUUUUGAGCCGAUUUUAUUGUUGCUGAGUUAAAAAAAAAAAUCUGUUGUUUUAAUUAACCCCUGCCACCCAAGCAACUGAAAAGCACACCAGCAUCUCGUGAUGUUUCUCAAGCCUGAGCUUCAGAAAUGAGUAUAUUUGUAUGGCCUGAGCCCAUAAACCGAGUCACACAAGCAUUUAUUUAUGCAUUUGAUCGCAUUUAUAGAUCGCACCUCACAAAAUACCUCACAGCAAUUUCACAGCGAAAAUAUCAACAAAAAGAACAAUUAAAAAAACAAUCCCAUAUGUGAAUACAAUUUCAACAAUUCCAUGUGGGUGAAAAAUUAAAAGCCACUUCAUAUGUAAAACCUAUUCCAAAUCCAAUAGAGACACAGGUGGGGAUAAAGAUUUCUACUUAAAAGGCUUGUUGAAAAAGGAGAAAUCUUUCAAUGGGUGCUGAACAGGUGACAGAGAUGGAGCCUGUCUGGGAUGGGAUGGGAUGGGGAGGAGUUCUGAAGGGUAGAUGCUAUUUCAAGUGGUGUUUGUUAUAAAGCAGGAUGAUAAAGCAGGUUAUAAUGUAAGAUGAAGAACUUUAUUUAAACAAACUUGCAUUCGUCUCUUUCCCUGCUGUUUGCACUGUUUGUGCGGAGUCAUUUCUGGGUAGCUAUUCCCUUAAUCUGUGCCUUCCCUUGGUGGUCACUAAAUUUCUAUCUCUGACUGUUGUCCUCAUUCUUCUACAUAGUUCCACAUAAAUACAGGAGCCAGGUUCAGUUCCUAACAUCUCCCAUUAAGAAGGAAUGGGAACGAUAUCUCUGUGUUAUCCCAGCAAGUGGCCACCAUCCAAAGAAAACAAUGCUCAACUCCAUGUAAAGCAUUUCAAUAGGUCAAUAAUGUUGGGUUCUGUUCAAUUCCAUGUAUGGGAAUGUGGCUGUGCAGACCACAGGUAAAAUCUUCUACAAAUCUCUGGAAGAUUAGGAUCAAUGGCCUCUCCUAUCUCUCCUGUACACAGCAGCAUCCCACACAUAAGCAUGGUGGUGGACCAUAGAGGAUAUGCCCUUCGACAGAAAGGAACUCUUUAAUGAAGAAAAGAAACCUGACAUGGA